GACGAACGCUGGCGGCGUGCUUAACACAUGCAAGUCGAACGGAAAGGCCCUGCUUUUGUGGCUUGCUCGAUUGGCGAACGGGUGAGUAACACGUGUGUAACCUGCCCUUGACUUUGGGAUAUCUUCUGGAAACUGCGGCUAAUACCGGAUAUGAGCUCCUGCUGCAUGGUGGUGGUUGGAAAGUUUCGGCGGUUGGGGCUGUAUUCGCUGCUUCUCAGCUUCUUGGUGGGGUAGUUGCUUACCAAGGCUUUGACGGCUAGCCGGCCUGAGAGGGUGACCGGCCACAAUGGGACUGAGAGACGGAGCAGACGCCUACGGGAGGCAGCAGUGGGGAAUAUUGCACAAUGGGCGGAAGCCUGAUGCAGCAACGCCGCGUGCGGAAUGACGGCCUUCGGGUGGUAAACCGCUGUCGCCGGUGACGAAGCGUGAGUGACGGUAAUGAGUAAAGAAGCACCGGCUAACUACGUG
rnacentral:rRNA from 1 species